CAACAGCAGUCUAAUAGGCUGUC
rnacentral:miRNA from 8 species